UUCGAUCCUAUUGUGUUGGCC
rnacentral:siRNA from 1 species